UUGAAAUGCAACUAAUUAUGUGCAUGAAGGACCGUAUAACAGGCAAAGCCAAACCAAACUUCGAAAAGGUCACAUGAACAUCAACCACAGAAACAGCCCUUCUCCUCAGGACACUGAACUGAGGUGUGAAAUAAAAUAAAGAAUAGAACAGGCUGAAGGAAGUGAGCAGCGCUUUAACUGUCUGUGGUCAGGGUGGCUCUUGCCUUGAAAUUAGGCAGCUUCACCCGCAGCCGCGCGCGCUCUGCACAAAAGCGCCAAGCAGGGGCACCUCACAGUACCCGCUUUGAGGCACCAGAGCCGUGAUACUUUCACAAAGAUAACUACUCCUGUCCGCUCCUUUUAUCUUCUGCGAAAGUAAGUGCAAUCUUUAUGUUGAUCUGGGGGUUAUAGGCUAGGCUACAGCAGCAAAAUGUUGCCAUUCACAUUGGAACAUGGUUCCCUCUUUUUUCUGGCUUUUAAGCUACUGUUAACAUAUUUUACACAGCUGUGAUGCUCAUGUAGCUCUUUAAUGUUUUUAUAUGCAUUAUUGUGUACCAAUAUGUCAAAUUACACAGUGAAGCUACAUUCUUGUAAAAUAAUCUAUGUUGUCUGUAAUUUGAUUUUAUAUUGUCAUUGUCCAACCAUGUUAAACCUGCGUGAGCUGCUGUCUGUCUUGGCCAGGACACUCUUGAAAAAGAGAUUUUGAAUCUCAACGAGACUCUCCUGGUUAAAGUAAAAUGUAAUAAUAUUUACAAAUAGAAACAAUUAUUCUUAAAGCUUUGCAUUUAUCACAGUCAGUCUGCCAUGCUCAGAAAUAUGAGCCUGUCAGCAGGGCCGUUUCAGACAGUUUGAAAACCGUUAAGAUCACACCUCCUCUACCAGCUGAUCCUAAUGGAGAUCAGUCUCUCUCACUGCUGAAAGGUGGCUAUGUGACCAGUGGGGCCGAUGCAGCCAUGCCCCAAACAUCCUCAACAGUAUUUUUGUAAGCCCUUCUCUCUGCCUCAGUCCUCAAGACCCCUGUCUGAAGAUAUUACAGUCUCAUAUUGUAUUAUAUUCUGUGCCGAUUAUAAUCUCCAAACUCAAGUCACUUUCAAAGGUAAGGUCCUAGAUGUUUUUAAAACAGUGUUUUAGUACUUAAUUUUACAUUGCCUUGUUGUAUUGAUCACAUA